rnacentral:rRNA from 1 species
CAGACUCCUACGGGAGGCAGCAGUGAGGAAUAUUGGACAAUGGAGGCAACUCUGAUCCAGCCAUGCCGCGUGCAGGAAGACGGCCCUAUGGGUUGUAAACUGCUUUUAUACAGGAAGAAACGCCUCCUCGUGAGAUUGUUUGACGGGACUGUACGAAUAAGGAACGGCUAACUCCAUGCCAGCAGCCGCGGUAAUGAAAU